ensembl:lncRNA
UCCUCACUUGAAAACGAAAAUGCGUGCCGCUCCCGCGUGAUCCCAUAAGGUCUUUUCAAAGUAAAAGUCGUCUUGAGCGUCACACAUGCAUCUGAGUCACAUAAAUAAAUAAAAUACCUAGUUGACCUCGUAGCUGUGAUACAAACCUUCUAUAAUGACGUACUUAUACAGUUAUGAUCACAAACAGUGAAUGGAAAGGAAUGAAUUAAAAAUUCUGGCAGUGGGCUGGAACAUGACCUGAGUGAGGUGUCGUCAUGUAUAGACGAUCUUCGCAGCAGUAGUUUCGUGUUAAGGGGUUCAGGUCAGACCCCUUCCUCUAAAACGCGUUGGCUCUGGAACAGAUCCAGUCCCUUUGUGUAUCCGGUAAGUUUGAUUAUUUAAACAUAUAAACUGCCGUUGUUCUUGUCAGGAUCAGCUAUCUGACUGCGUGUCUGUCUGCGAUGUUGGCUUCAAACCGAAAAUAAAACAGACCCCUGAGUGCGAUGUCAGUGAGGUUAUUUUUUUAAGCUACGGUUUUUUGUUUUUAGCCUUCCAGUGACACUGUAACAUUAGUUUGUUUCUCCGUCCUUUUUCUCUACUAAUAAAGUCCACCAGUACCCAGAACCACAGCCGUUGAACAAUGAUUUUUUUUUUAACUAAUAGGUAAAUAUUUUAUCAGAAACAAUUUCCUGUAACUAGAAGUAAUGUCUUAAUGGUAUAAUGUGUAAUCCACCUACAGUGCCUCUGAAGUGUAGUCAAAUAGCAAACUCUAUCCAAGAACAGUUAUACUAGUUUAACUAUAUGAUUGGAAAUUAUUGCAUAGUUGGAAUUACUGAAAACUGUGCUAUGUUAGGAGGGGAAAGCAAGUGUGGUUGGCACACUGUUACUCCCCAGGUCCCUAAUGGGUGUUGCCAGAAAGGUCGGGGGGGGGGGAAUUGAAUUUAGAUUGAAAUUCAGAUUGCAUUUAAUUUGGUGAACAAUAAACCCAACAUUUUCGGUUUAAUGUUGUUGUUUUUUUAAUAAUUAUUUCUUUGUUUCUUUUCCAGGUUGAAAGCUGUUUACAUACAUUUUAAGCUGCCAUUGCUGUCAUGAAUGACAUGAAAUUCCUCAUAUAUAUAUUCGCGUUUAUCGUGUCAUUGCUUUUCUAUCUGUGUAAAUACCUGUGCCAAAGCCCCGACAAUGAAAAUUCUGUGAUGGCUACCGCUGACCACACCACUUCUCAGCAGUACACUCAGCAACCGACUGCAGCACCUGGGCCCUCUCAGUCCCACCAGAGAGCGUCCUACCAGCCAGCACCAGCUCAGCCCGAUGACCCAGCUGAGCUCAUGACCACAUCACCCAGCCAUGAACAGCCAUUCCUAAGACCACCGCCAUCAUAUGAGGAAACAACUGGUCCUGCCUACCCUGUACAACUGAUGCCUUCCAGCGAGACAGUGUUCAUCCCCAGCGAUCCACUGUACCUAUCAGAGGGUAUUGUGCAUGAGUACAACGGUCUACAGGACAGCACAGACUUCCUAACCAGCUCUGCAUGCGACCCUGAAUUUGUUAUAAGCUAGGCUUAAUAGUCAUAGCGGCCCAAUCAGAUACAAACAUGAUGCAAAAUAUUUGGCUCAAAUGGAAGUAUGUUGAAUGAAGAUGAGACACGGCAGACUAACUUGAUGUAUUUUCAAUUUUAUUCUUUAAACCAGUUUUUAGUGGCUCAAGUUAUUUAGAAAAAUUGAAACAUGAGGUCACUGUUUCUCACUAAUUGUCUUUGGGCUUAUUCCUCAAGAUCUCUGCCUCUUGUCUUUACUCUCUAUUGGGGAAAGUACUUGACAGUCAGAUUCAGUGGUCACCAGUUAGGUGUUUCAGUGUUCAUUAGAAAUGCAUCGAUGGAUGCGCAUGCGAGAUAAAUAUGAACACGUUAAAGAAGCUAAAGUCAGGCGGUUGUACAGAAAAUCAUUGUGAAGUUUAAUAACUUUUGUUAUUAUUUUAUUAUUUUAUUAUAGUGCAUCUCUAGUAUCUGUGGAUAUCAUCUCAUCGCUAUCUAUGAAUUUACUGCAGACCUGCAAAGUGCUGUUAACCUUUUUUUCCCUGUGUAUUUGUGUGCAUUGUCUUGUGAGUCAUGCUACAUGUGAAUAAAUUCAAA